rnacentral:misc_RNA from 1 species
CAGAUGAGGGUUUUUGGGGGUUGGUGGGGUGAUGGCGUGAUGGCGCCUUGGCGUCAUGGCGUCUUUGCCGUGCCUACAGCCCACUACCACGUUUACGCUUGUAUGGUUUGACAGAGUUAUUGUGAGUGAAUCAACA